rnacentral:rRNA from 1 species
UACGAAGGGGGCGAGCGUUGUUCGGAUUUACUGGGCGUAAAGGGUGCGUAGGCGGUUGUUUAAGUUUGGUGUGAAAUCUCCCGGCUCAACUGGGAGGGUGCGCCGAAUACUGAAUGACUAGAGUGCGGGAGAGGAGAGUGGAAUUCCUGGUGUAGCGGUGAAAUGCGUAGAUAUCAGGAGGAACACCUGCGGUGUAGACGGCUUUCUGGACCAUUGCUGACGCUGAGACACGAAAGCGUGGGUAGCAAACAGG